ACCUCGGGUGACAGGGAGACAGGUGGUGCGAUGGUUGUCGUCAGCUCGUGUCGUGAGAUGUUGGGUUAAGUCCCGCAACGAGCGCAACCCCUACGUUUAGUUUGCUAACGCGUGAAGGCGAGCACUCUAGACGAACUGCCGUUGACAAACGGAGGAAGUGGGAUGACGUCAAAUCAUCAUGCCCCUUAUGUUCUGGGCUACACACGUGCUACAAUGGCCGGUACAGACGGACGCAAAGCCGCGAGGUGGAGCAAAUCCUAAAAAGCCGGUCUCAGUUCGGAUUGCAGGCUGCAAUUCGCCUGCAUGAAGUCGGAAUCGCUAGUAAUCGCAGGUCAGCAUACUGCGGUGAAUACGUUCCCGGGCCUU
rnacentral:rRNA from 1 species